rnacentral:snRNA from 1 species
ACCUUUGCGUAGUGGUAGAAUCAUAGCCAAUGAAGUUAAUCUGAGGUGUGAUUAUUGCUAGUUGAAAACUUUUCCUAAAGCUUCAAUACUAACUUUUAUUAGUUAUCAUUCACUCCAGCCUUUGAGGGCAUCUUUGAAAGUGAAUGGGAAGAUCUUUGCAUCUCAUACAUCAAACUUGCUGAUAAUGA